rnacentral:lncRNA from 1 species
GGCAUCUGAGGUUUCCUCCAAGGCCCUCUGAAGUGCAGCCCAUAAUGAAGGUCUUGGCGGCAGUACACAGCCCAGGGGGAGCCGUUCCCCAACAACCUGGACAAGCUAUGUGGCCCCAACGUGACGGACUUCCCGCCCUUCCACGCCAACGGCACGGAGAAGGCCAAGCUGGUGGAGCUGUACCGCAUAGUCGUGUACCUUGGCACCUCCCUGGGCAACAUCACCCGGGACCAGAAGAUCCUCAACCCCAGUGCCCUCAGCCUCCACAGCAAGCUCAACGCCACCGCCGACAUCCUGCGAGGCCUCCUUAGCAACGUGCUGUGCCGCCUGUGCAGCAAGUACCACGUGGGCCAUGUGGACGUGACCUACGGCCCUGACACCUCGGGUAAGGAUGUCUUCCAGAAGAAGAAGCUGGGCUGUCAACUCCUGGGGAAGUAUAAGCAGAUCAUCGCCGUGUUGGCCCAGGCCUUCUAGCAGGAGGUCUUGAAGUGUGCUGUGAACCGAGGGAUCUCAGGAGUUGGGUCCAGAUGUGGGGGCCUGUCCAAGGGUGGCUGGGGCCCAGGGCAUCGCUAAACCCAAAUGGGGGCUGCUG